rnacentral:rRNA from 1 species
GACGUAGGAUGCAAGCGUUGUCCGGCAUUAUUGGGCGUAAAGCGUUCGUAGGCGGCCUGCCAAGUCUGAUGUUAAAUCCCGGGGCUCAACCCCGGACCGGCAUUGGAUACUGGCAAGCUAGAGUACGGUAGAGGUAAGGGGAAUUCCUAGUGUAGCGGUGAAAUGCGUAGAUAUUAGGAGGAACACCGGUGGCGAAAGCGCCUUACUGGACCGAAACUGACGCUGAGUGACGAAAGCCAGGGGAGCAAAGGGG